AUUGAACGCUGGCGGCAGGCUUAACACAUGCAAGUCGAGCGGAGCGAGGGUGCUUGCACCUUAGCUUAGCGGCGGACGGGUGAGUAAUGCUUAGGAAUCUGCCUAUUAGUGGGGGACAACAUUCCGAAAGGAAUGCUAAUACCGCAUACGCCCUACGGGGGAAAGCAGGGGAUCUUCGGACCUUGCGCUAAUAGAUGAGCCUAAGUCGGAUUAGCUAGUUGGUGGGGUAAAGGCCUACCAAGGCGACGAUCUGUAGCGGGUCUGAGAGGAUGAUCCGCCACACUGGGACUGAGACACGGCCCAGGCUCCUACGGGAGGCAGCAGUGGGGAAUAUUGGACAAUGGGCGGAAGCCUGAUCCAGCCAUGCCGCGUGUGUGAAGAGGGCCUUUUGGUUGUAAAGCACUUUAAGCGAGGAGGAGGCUACUUAGAUUAAUACUCUGGGAUAGUGGACGUUACUCGCAGAAUAAGCACCGGCUAACUCUGUGCCAGCCGCCGCAGUAAGAC
rnacentral:rRNA from 1 species